GUUUCCAAAAAAUAAUUGUUGAUACAACUACAAGAAAUGUACGAGGGAUUGAGAAUCUGUGGGUAGCUUUGGCUGAUGGAACAGAGUUACACUCAUUAGUUGUGUUACGAAAUGCUGCUCCAUCUGAGGACAAGAGCACAUAUGGCGUAAGUAAUGGCGCUCACCUUGAAGAUCAUGCCCAUCGAUGAAAAUUGACAAUCUCUGCUUAUCCUUAAAUAUCCCUAAGGUUUUCUCAUCUAUGUUAUUGAGACAGUAAAGUAUGCAUUAAGAAUGAUGUUGCAAGUGCGAGUCCCUGAGCUUUUCCAGUUUUUCUUCUUAUGUUGCCGAGGAAUGAGACGAU